AUCCGUCCGAAGAGUCCAAAAUAGGACAAAACGCGCGUCCUGUAU
rnacentral:hammerhead_ribozyme from 1 species